AUUGAACGCUGGCGGCAGGCCUAACACAUGCAAGUCGAGCGAGCGGCGGACGGGUGAGUAAUGUCUUGGAAACUGCCUGAUGGAGGGGGAUAACUCCUGGAAACGGUAGCGAAUACCGCAUACCAUCAGAUGUGCCCCGAUGGGAUUAGCUAGUAGGUGGGGUAACGGCUCACCUAGGCGACGAGCCCUAGCUGGUCUGAGAGGAUGACCAGCCACACUGGAACGGAGACACGGGCCAGACUCCUACGGGAGGCAGCAGUGGGGAAUAUUGCACAAUGGGCGCAAGCCUGAUGCAGCCAUGCCGCGUUUGUGAAGAAGGCCUUCGGGUUGUAAAGGACUUUCAGCGGGGAGGCGUUACCCGCAGAAGAAGCACCGGCUAACUCCGUGCCAGCAGCCGCGGUAAUAC
rnacentral:rRNA from 1 species